CAACAACCGAUUGGAGGGCAAGUCUGGUGCCAGCAGCCGCGGUAAUUCCAGCUCCAAUAGCGUAUAUUAAAGUUGUUGCGGUUAAAAAGCUCGUAGUCUGAGUUCUGUUCCGGACUGGUCGGGGAGGUCACCGCCCGGUGCUUCCCCGUCAGGUUCCGAACAGCCUCCGCCGCGAGCGGGGGCCAAGCCGGUUCUGCCGGGGUGCUCUUGACCGAGUGUCCCGCGCGGCCGGCCGGUUCACCUUGAACAAAUGAGAGUGCUCAAAGCAGGCUACUCUUGACACUAAAGCCCGAAUGUUAACUGCAUGGAAUGAUGGAAGAUGAUCUCGGUUCCAUUUUGCUGGGUGGUGGGAAUCCGAGUUAAUGAUAAACAGGGACUGUCGGGGGCAUCCGUACUACGACGCGAGAGGUGAAAUUCAGUGACCGUCGUAGGACGAACAACAGCGAAAGCAUUUGCCAAGAAUGUCUUCGUUGAUCAAGAACGAAAGUUAGAGGAUCGAAGGCGAUCAGAUACCGCCCUAGUUCUAACCCUAAACGAUGCUGACCAGCUAUUCGCCGUCGUUAUUCCCAUGACGUGGCGAGACGCCCCCGGGAAACCUCGAGUCUUUGAGUUCCGGGGGUAGUAUGGUUGCAAAACUGAAACUUAAAGGAAUUGACGGAAGGGCACCACCAGGAGUGGAGCCUGCGGCUUAAUUUGACUCAACACGGGAAACCUCACCAGGCCCGGACACCAGAAGGAUUGACAGAUUAAGAGCUCUUUCUCAAUUUGGUGGGUGGUGGUGCAUGGCCGUUCUUAGUUGGUGGAGUGAUUUGUCUGGUUAAUUCCGGUAACGAACGAGACUCUGGCCUACUAACUAGUGGGCGGGUGUUCCGGUAAGGGGCCCCGCCCGACAAUGUCUUCUUAGAGGGAUGAGCAGCGAGUAUAGCUGCAGGAGAUUGAGCAAUAACAGGUCU
rnacentral:rRNA from 1 species